AGUGAACGCUGGCGGCGUGCCUAAUACAUGCAAGUCGAACGGAGUGGCGCACGGGUGAGUAAUAUAUAGCUAAUCUGCCCCUUGCUGGAGGACAACAGUUAGAAAUUACUGCUAAUACUCCAUAGCAAGGGAUGAGACUAUAUCGUAUCAGCUAGUCGGUGGGGUAACGGCCUACCGAGGCUAUGACGCGUAACUGGUCUUAGUGGAUGAGCAGUCAAAUUAGAACGAAGACACGGUCCGAACUCCUACGGUAUGGAGCAGUAGGGAAUAUUGCGCAAGGGGCUAAACCCUGACGCAGCAACGCCGCGUGGAGGAUGACACUUUUCGGGGCUUAAACUCCUUUUGUUAGGGAAGCGGUACCUAACUAAUAAGCACCGGCUAACUCCGUGCCAGCCGCCGCGGUAAUAC
rnacentral:rRNA from 1 species